GAUGAACGCUAGCGGCAGGCCUAAUACAUGCAAGUCGAACGGGAUCCAGAUCCAAGCUUGCUUUGGUCUGGUGAGAGUGGCGCACGGGUGCGUAACGCGUGCGCACCCUACCCUUGUCAGGGGGAUAGCCCGGCGAAAGUCGGAUUAAUACCGCAUGCCAUCUUUGAGAGGCAUCUUUCGAUGUUCCAAGAUUUAUCGGACAAGGCUGGGCUCGCGGGACAUUAGCUAGUUGGUAAGGUUACGGCUUACCAAGGCUGCGAUGUCUAGGGUAUCUUAGAGGAGAAGCCCCGACAGGGGUACAGAGACGAGGACGAGAGUGAUACGGGAGGGAGCAGUAAGGAAGAUAGGGCAAUGGACGGAAGUAUGAACCAGGCAUGCCGAGUGCAGGAGGACGGCGCUAUGGGUGGUAAACUGCUUUUAGAAGGGAACAAACGUCGGUAAGGGUACGGGAGUGAGGGUAACGGAAGAAUAAGGAUCGGCUAACUCCGUG
rnacentral:rRNA from 1 species